UGCUGAUGUCCAAUCCGUUACCUUUCUGACCAUCCCUUCCAUCUUUGAGGUGAACUGACCACCACUAAUAUAAGCGAGCAGCUUUACCACCUUUUCCAGUGUUUCCUCAAUGGCUUCAUCACUCAGCUUCUCGCUCCCACCUUUCUUAAGAAUAUUAUCACAGAAAGUGGCUAAUAGUUCUGCACUGGAACUUCCAGCGACACCCUUGUUGCAGAAGACUUCAAAAGCUUCUUUCAAUGCCUUGUGGAAAAGAGUGUGGUUCUGGAAACAAUCAU
rnacentral:misc_RNA from 1 species